rnacentral:rRNA from 1 species
AUUGAACGCUGGCGGCAGGCCUAACACAUGCAAGUCGAACGGUAACAGGAAACAGCUUGCUGUUUCGCUGACGAGUGGCGGACGGGUGAGUAAUGUCUGGGAAACUGCCUGAUGGAGGGGGAUAACUACUGGAAACGGUAGCUAAUACCGCAUAACGUCGCAAGACCAAAGGGGGGGACCUUCGGGCCUCUUGCCAUCGGAUGUGCCCAGAUGGGAUUAGCUAGUAGGUGGGGUAACGGCUCACCUAGGCGACGAUCCCUAGCUGGUCUGAGAGGAUGACCAGCCACACUGGAACUGAGACACGGUCCAGACUCCUACGGGAGGCAGCAGUGGGGAAUAUUGCACAAUGGGCGCAAGCCUGAUGCAGCCAUGCCGCGUGUAUGAAGAAGGCCUUCGGGUUGUAAAGUACUUUCAGCGGGGAGGAAGGGAGUAAAGUUAAUACCUUUACUCAUUGACGUUACCCGCAGAAGAAGCACCGGCUAACUCCGUG